UCGGCGGGUGGUCGAGCUGGCGGAGACCAUUUCGAACAUAAGGUUCUGAGUCAGACCAGGCGCUGGUUCGAGCCCGCGUUCGCCGAC
rnacentral:tRNA from 1 species